GCAGUCGAGCGGAUGAAGAGAGCUUGCUCUCUGAUUCAGCGGCGGACGGGUGAGUAAUGCCUAGGAAUCUGCCUGGUAGUGGGGGACAACGUUUCGAAAGGAACGCUAAUACCGCAUACGUCCUACGGGAGAAAGCAGGGGACCUUCGGGCCUUGCGCUAUCAGAUGAGCCUAGGUCGGAUUAGCUAGUUGGUGAGGUAAUGGCUCACCAAGGCGACGAUCCGUAACUGGUCUGAGAGGAUGAUCAGUCACACUGGAACUGAGACACGGUCCAGACUCCUACGGGAGGCAGCAGUGGGGAAUAUUGGACAAUGGGCGAAAGCCUGAUCCAGCCAUGCCGCGUGUGUGAAGAAGGUCUUCGGAUUGUAAAGCACUUUAAGUUGGGAGGAAGGGUUGUAGAUUAAUACUCUGCAAUUUUGACGUUACCGACAGAAUAAGCACCGGCUAACUCUGUGCCAGCAGCCGCGGUAAUACAGAGGGUGCAAGCGUUAAUCGGAAUUACUGGGCGUAAAGCGCGCGUAGGUGGUUCGUUAAGUUGGAUGUGAAAGCCCCGGGCUCAACCUGGGAACUGCAUUCAAAACUGACGAGCUAGAGUAUGGUAGAGGGUGGGUGGAAUUUCCUGUGUAGCGGUGAAAUGCGUAGAUAUAGGAAGGAACACCAGUGGCGAAAGC
rnacentral:rRNA from 1 species